GAUGAACGCUGGCGGCGUGCUUAACACAUGCAAGUCGAACGAAGUGGCGAACGGGAGAGUAACGCGGAAUCAACCUGCCCUUCAGAGGGGGACAACAGUUGGAAACGACUGCUAAUACCGCAUACUGAAGGAGGGGAUUGCGUCUGAGUAGCUAGUGGGAGGGGGAACGGCCCACCAAGGCGAUGAUCAGUAGCCGGUUGGGUAGGUGUAACGGCCAAAUUUGGACUUAGCCACGGCCCAGACUCCUACGGGAGGCAGCAGUUGGGAAUCUUCCGCAAUGGACGAAAGUCUGACGGAGCAACGCCGCGUGAGUGAUGACGGCCUUCGGGUUGUAAAGCUCUGUUAAUCGGGACGCGGUACCGGAAUAGAAAGCCACGGCUAACUACGUGCCAGCAGCCGCGGUAAUAC
rnacentral:rRNA from 1 species